rnacentral:rRNA from 1 species
CAGUCGCCACGGGAAUACGUAGGGUGAAAGCGUUAAUCGGAAUUACUGGGCGUAAAGCGUGCGCAGGCGGUUAUAUAAGACAGAUGUGAAAUCCCCGGGCUCAACCUGGGAACUGCAUUUGUGACUGUAUAGCUAGAGUACGGCAGAGGGGGAUGGAAUUCCGCGUGUAGCAGUGAAAUGCGUAGAUAUGCGGAGGAACACCGAUGGCGAAGGCAAUCCCCUGGGCCUGUACUGACGCUCAUGCACGAAAGCGUGGGGAGCAAACAGGAUUAGAUACCCGGGUAGUCCCUGUCUCUUAUAC